AGUGAACGCUGGCGGUAGGCCUAACACAUGCAAGUCGAACGAGUGGCGGACGGGUGAGGAAUACAUCGGAAUCUACUUUAUCGAGGGGGAUAACGUAGGGAAACUUACGAUAAUACCGCAUACGGUGGAAUGAGGCGACGUCGGAUUAGCUAGUUGGCGGGGUAAAGGCCCACCAAGGCGACGAUCCGUAGCUGGUCUGAGAGGAUGAUCAGCCACACUGGAACUGAGACACGGUCCAGACUCCUACGGGAGGCAGCAGUGGGGAAUAUUGGACAAUGGGCGCAAGCCUGAUCCAGCCAUACCGCGUGGGUGAAGAAGGCCUUCGGGUUGUAAAGCCCUUUUGUUGGGAAAGCGGUACCAACAGAAUAAGCACCGGCUAACUUCGUGCCAGCAGCCGCGGUAAUUC
rnacentral:rRNA from 1 species